GACGAACGCUGGCGGCGUGCCUAACACAUGCAAGUCGAGCGAAUGAAGUUCCUUCGGGAAUGGAUUUAGCGGCGGACGGGUGAGUAACACGUGGGCAACCUGCCUCAUAGAGGGGAAUAGCCUCCCGAAAGGGAGAUUAAUACCGCAUAAGAUUGUAGUACCGCAUGAUACAGCAAUUAAAGGAGCAAUCCGCUAUGAGAUGGGCCCGCGGCGCAUUAGCUAGUUGGUGAGGUAAUGGCUCACCAAGGCGACGAUGCGUAGCCGACCUGAGAGGGUGAUCGGCCACAUUGGGACUGAGACACGGCCCAGACUUCUACGGGAGGCAGCAGUGGGGAAUAUUGCACAAUGGGGGAAACCCUGAUGCAGCAACGCCGCGUGAGUGAUGACGGCCUUCGGGUUGUAAAGCUCUGUCUUCAGGGACGAUAAUGACGGUACCUGAGGAGGAAGCCACGGCUAACUACGUG
rnacentral:rRNA from 1 species